AUGCAGCCCUGCGUCGUACUCCUCCUCACCCUAGCCAUCCUCCCUAGCCUCGUAGCCAGCACCACCUCAUCUCUCAUCAACACAACGUGCUCGAAGGCUCCUAAUGUGUCCUACGACCAUUGUGUCAACGUGCUCUCGGCCGAUCCAGCCGGUGCCCCCGCCACGGACCAGCGCAGGCUGCUAAUCGCCGCCGCUAAACGAACUGUGCACAGUGUGACAUCCACGGUGCAUAUCAUGAGCGACCUAAUACAAGAGCUCAACACUUGCAUCCAAUAUUACCAACGUAUGGGUGAGUUGACGGUGGGCGCCAUCGAUGACCUCCGAGAAGGACGAGAUGCUGGACUCAUAUAUCCAAAGUUACGGGAGGCCUCUGAUGAGCCCCUAAGGUGUGAUACAGCGUUCUUUCACGGAGUCAAGAAGAAUCUCAUGGAGAAAGAGGACUCAGAGAACAAAAAUUUGGCCCACUUAGCCAGUAGCAUCACAUUUCUGUUGUUCAAUCGGCGCUCUUAG
rnacentral:rRNA from 1 species